UACUCGUUGCGCGUCCGUUUUUGCAUUGUGCCUCGCACCUUGGUAUACUCAGCGUAGUCAGAAAUGCAAAUAAUAUUCUAAGAUAUAGUCGAUAAAUAUGCAUGCUGUAGAAAAAAAGAGCAAACGAUGACCAUAUCAGUUAACAGACAUUGUAAGCCAAAAGCGUGGAAAUAAUUGCUCUCCGAUAUUAAUAUUUCGCGGUUACGACGUUGAUCAAGGAAUCUGUAAAACCGGUAAACAUGUAUUUCAUAAUCGCUGGCGGCUGACCCGAUGACGUGGAAGGACAAAUAAUGUAGCAUAUAUAUAUGCGGUAGGUACACGAAAUCGGCAUCCUUAUAAUGUCCAUUCUCGAUCUUGUUCCAUCGUAGACCAGCGAGGAUGCACUUGUCCUCCUCUGGCAGCCGCUACGCGCCGUCGACGCCGACCAAUCACGGUUGGCAGACAACAGGUGACCGACCAAUCCGGUCUCCCUGUCACGAGACCCGUCGCUUUUACGUUGCGCUAAGCAUUUCGCUUCACGGAUAUUCCAACCAAAUCCGACGACGAUCGCUUUCCCACUUCGUUGCUCGUUUUACUGCCUCUCUGUCUAUACAUAGCUCUUCUCGUUCUCCAGUUUCCCCACCCUGGCCACUGAUCGUGCCAACCUGCUGCUCGUCGGCUUUCCUUCGCUAUCCUUCCAAAGUCGAUUUAACGGAGACUAUAGGAAUCCGUGUUAUCCACGGCGGACACGUUUUGAAUUUUUCUGACCGGUUCUCGAAAUGGUUUUCCGAUACAGGAAGCCACGACCAAGAUUCAAUGCCAAAUAUAUUUAAUCCAUUGAUGUCUAUACCCCAAAUGCCCUCGAAGCAUAAUUUUCUAUCACUGUUAAAUAUUGCAUGCCGACAGCGCGAUUUUAAAAAGCUGACCGGUCGCGAAAAAAACGUUAACACUGGAGUAAGACGUACUCGUGCACGCACGCUAUCAAGGCCGUGAUCAUGUUAUGGAGGGAGCACCGAAACGGGGGCACAGGCGACGGUACGUACCUGUGAUCUUUUACAAGCUGUUAGAGACUCCUUAUGCUCAGAGGGAGUGCGCAAGGUAGUCGCCAUUUUCCUGUACUCCACUUGAAAAUCUACCUUCUAACGUCGACCAGCUAUAUAGGGUGUGCUGGAACUGAUUAUUCGAACUUUUUGUACACCUGGUACUUGUCAAAAUAAGAAAAAAAGAGUUUCCAAGUUAGAAAGAAAAAUCUUAUUUCGUGGGAACAGACAUUCGAAAUGUCUCUUAGACGGUUGCUGGUAUUAUUACCAUUAUUCUUAUCGUCAUUUUACAUCUACGACCAUCUAGAAUCUACUGUCGUGGGCGAUGUCAGAUACCAAUCUUGAAGUGAACGUGUUCGCAAACUUAUGUUUGCACAUUCGCGGAAUUCCCAUGCAGAGUCUGGUGAAACGUUUUACGAUAGCAUUUUACUGCCCAAGUUAAAUAAAAAAUAUAUCUCUCGAGAAAUUAAUCGAUUUUCUUUUUAUUUUAUAUUGCCUACUCUGGUUCUUGUACCAACAACCUGUUUCACACACACACACUAACGCUACGACUUACGUAAGUUCCCAAUACCUAAUUGUUUUUUUUUUUUUCUUUAAAUUAUUUACGAGUGCUCUCCCCUUUCUAGUAUUUCAACGACAAACAUACUGUUUUAGAGACGUUCCUGUAUAGGUGUAUACGAGCGUACAGUAACCAUAAUCGAACUAACAAAUGAAAUUUGACGGUUUCAAAUUUUGCAUUCUUAAACAAACCUUUGUUUACGUUGCGAUCUUUUUAUGAGAUUGAGAAUAUUAAGAAAUAAGUAAAUGACGUAGAUCUCCACUAAAAGACUUCAACAAAAUGAAACCUCCCUUUUCAGAAGAAUGCCAAAAUUACAUCGA